rnacentral:rRNA from 1 species
UACAGAGGGUGCGAGCGUUUAUCGGAAUUACUGGGCGUAAAGCGCGCGUAGGCGGCUUUGCAAGUCGGGUGUGAAAUCCCCAGGCUUAACCUGGGAACUGCAUUCGAGACUGCAUUGCUAGAGUAUGGGAGAGGGAAGUGGAAUUUCCGGUGUAGCGGUGAAAUGCGUAGAUAUCGGAAGGAACAUCAGUGGCGAAAGCGACUUCCUGGACCAAUACUGACGCUCAUGUGCGAAAGCGUGGGGAGCAAACAGG